UACUAGUUGUUCGUUUGAUUGAGGGUUGGAAUGAAUGGAAUAAAUUUGAUGAUUUUGGUGUUUGGAUUUGGUUCAAAUUGUUGCAACGAAAGGAUUUGCAUCUUUUACUUAUGCAAUUUGAUGUUCAUGGGAGGGAAACAAAGGUGCUGGAAAAUAUGUGGUUUGUUGGUUUUCGUAUGUGGCUCGGGAUAGAGCAGAAAGCUUUGGCUGUAUGGAAUCGAGGUCUGCGGCUGGUCUCUU
rnacentral:lncRNA from 1 species